rnacentral:rRNA from 1 species
GAUGAACGCUGGCGGCGUGCUUAACACAUGCAAGUUGAACGAAGUGGCGGAUGGGCGAGUAACAGGUGAGGAACCUACCUUUCAAAGGGGAAUAACACUGGGAAACCAGUGCUAAUACCGCAUAGUGAAAGAUGGCCUCGCGCCUGAUUAGCUAGUAGGUGAGGUAACGGAUCACCUAGGUGAUGAUCAGUAGCCGGACGGGAGGUUGAUCUGCCGCAUUGGUACUGAGACACGGCCCAGAGUCCUACGGGAGUCAGCAGUAGGGAAUAUUGGGCUAUGGCGCAUGCCUGACCCAGCAACUCCGCGUGAAGGAAGACGGUCUUCGGAUUGUAAACUUCUUUAGACAGGGACGCGGUACCUGUAGAAUAAGCACCGGCUAACUUCGUGCCAGCAGCCGCGGUAAUUC